rnacentral:rRNA from 1 species
UCUAGUAUAAGCAAUCUAUACGGUGAAACUGCGAAUGGCUCAUUAAAUCAGUUAUCGUUUAUUUGAUAGUACCUUACUACUUGGAUAACCGUGGUAAUUCUAGAGCUAAUACAUGCUAAAAACCUCGACUUCGGAAGGGGUGUAUUUAUUAGAUAAAAAACCAAUGCCCUUCGGGGCUCCUUGGUGAUUCAUAAUAACUUAACGAAUCGCAUGGCCUUGUGCCGGCGAUGGUUCAUUCAAAUUUCUGCCCUAUCAACUUUCGAUGGUAAGGUAUUGGCUUACCAUGGUUUCAACGGGUAACGGGGAAUUAGGGUUCUAUUCCGGAGAGGGAGCCUGAGAAACGGCUACCACAUCCAAGGAAGGCAGCAGGCGCGCAAAUUACCCAAUCCCGACACGGGGAGGUAGUGACAAUAAAUACUGAUACAGGGCUCUUUUGGGUCUUGUAAUUGGAAUGAGUACAAUUUAAAUCCCUUAACGAGGAACAAUUGGAGGGCAAGUCUGGUGCCAGCAGCCGCGGUAAUUCCAGCUCCAAUAGCGUAUAUUAAAGUUGUUGCAGUUAAAAAGCUCGUAGUUGAACCUUGGGCCUGGCUGGCCGGUCCGCCUCACCGCGUGCACUGGUCCGGCCGGGCCUUUCCUUCUGGGGAGCCGCAUGCCCUUCACUGGGUGUGUCGGGGAACCAGGACUUUUACUUUGAAAAAAUUAGAGUGUUCAAAGCAGGCCUAUGCUCGAAUACAUUAGCAUGGAAUAAUAGAAUAGGACGUGUGGUUCUAUUUUGUUGGUUUCUAGGACCGCCGUAAUGAUUAAUAGGGAUAGUCGGGGGCAUCAGUAUUCAAUUGUCAGAGGUGAAAUUCUUGGAUUUAUUGAAGACUAACUACUGCGAAAGCAUUUGCCAAGGAUGUUUUCAUUAAUCAGUGAACGAAAGUUAGGGGAUCGAAGACGAUCAGAUACCGUCGUAGUCUUAACCAUAAACUAUGCCGAC